GGAUUUUUCAGUUGAUUCGAAGAUGUGAAAGAAGAAUCAUCACUGUUUCGGAAGAAUAGCAACAGAAUCAAGAUUAGGUGAUUUUCAGUUGGAUUGAAGAAAAAUUAAGGAGUAUGUGGAUUCAAUUUUAUAAAUCAGGUUAGAGAUAGUAUGUGGUUUUGCUGUAGUGGCCUUGUUGGAGCCAGAUAAACAAGUUAUGGUGCUAGGAGGCAAUAAGGGGAUGUCACUAAAAUUUCAGCUUGGCGUGAAGCAUAAUAUCAGGUACAUAUUUUCUUAAUCUUUUACAGCAAUCACUCAAGGAAUCAACGCUAGAGACAUUAAUAAGCUUCGAGAUACAGGAAUCUACACCUGCAAUGGAUUGACGAUGCGUACCAAGAAGAUUGUUGAUUCCAUUAGCUCUUUUUGGAGUUGAUUUCACUGGUUAGAGGGGAAAUUGCUGAGCGCCAGAUACGUAAGCAUUUUGGAAUCGAGGAAGAUAAGAAGGGAAAAUGACAUUUUUAUUUGAAGAUCUCGUAGCUUAUUUCUAGGAUUUCAUUUUACGUAUUUCGUAUUUUAGCUUGUUUACUGUGUUCAACA